GAUGAACGCUAGCGGCAGGCCUAACACAUGCAAGUCGUGGGGUAACGGGAUAGCAAUAUCGCUGACGACCGGCGCACGGGUGAGUAAUGCAUAUGCAACCUUCCUCUAACUAGGGGAUAGCUUCCGGAAACGGAAAUUAAUACCCUAUAAUAUCCUAAAAACGCAUGUUUUAUGGAUUAAAGCUCCGGCGGUUAGAGAUGGGCAUAUGUGCCAUUAGCUAGUUGGUGAGGUAAUAGCUCACCAAGGCUACGAUGGCUAGGGGGUCUCGAGAGGAUGAUCCCCCA
rnacentral:rRNA from 1 species